rnacentral:rRNA from 1 species
AUCGAACGCUGGCGGCAGGCCUAACACAUGCAAGUCGAGCGGAUGAAGGGAGCUUGCUCCUGGAUUCAGCGGCGGACGGGUGAGUAAUGCCUAGGAAUCUGCCUGGUAGUGGGGGAUAACGUCCGGAAACGGGCGCUAAUACCGCAUACGUCCUGAGGGUGAAAGUGGGGGAUCUUCGGACCUCACGCUAUCAGAUGAGCCUAGGUCGGAUUAGCUAGUUGGUGGGGUAAUGGCCUACCUAGGCGACGAUCCGUAACUGGUCUGAGUGGAUGAUCAGUCACACGGGAGCUGGACCAGGCACCAGGCGACUGAGGGAGGCAGCAGUGGGGAACAUUAGGCAGUAGGCGAGAGCAUGGUACAGCGAUGCCGAGUGUGAUGCGAAGGUGCUCGGAUUGUAAAGCACUUUAAGUUGGGAGGAAGGGCAGUAAGUUAAUACCUUGCUGUUUUGACGUUACCGACAGAAUAAGCACCGGCUAACUUCGUG